UAGGUUUCCCUUUUGAGGUUCGGAAAGAGAUAUUUGCACAACAAAUUUCUCUAGGGUUUCUCUCCACCUCGAUUUCUCUAGGGUUUUCCUCUCCCAUUCCUCCUAGCUUCGUCCCCUUCCUCUUCGUCGCCAUCCACUCACAGCGCACAGCACCUCCCGCUUCUCUCCACCUCGUUUUCUCUAGGGUUUUCCUUUCCCAUUCGAGCCGGCUUCAUCCCCUUCCUCUUCGUCACCAUCCACCGCUGAAGUCGAGCCCCUACUUGGGCUUCGUCGCCAUCUCUGACUUCCUGUGAGUCGCCAUCCACGGCCGAAGAAAACCAUCUCCGACUUCCUACAACUCGCCAUCCACCGCCAUCCAUCUUCGACUUGGGCAUCAUAUUGGGCUUCGUCACCAUCUCCACAAAAGACCAGCUCUGACUUCGUUUUUGUUGCAAUCUCCGCAAAAGACCAUAUCCGAUUUCGAGUUUCAGACCACAGGCGCAUCUUCAUCUUCUUCCACGCGAGUGAUCUUGGUCUCUGUUUCAGCAAGCAAUCUUUGUGUUCGCUAUCUCCACCGAAGUCGACCUCCGAUUUCGACUUGCAGACCGCCAUUCGUCCCGGUCGCCAUCUUCGUCCACGAUUGGCUAGUCAAAGCUAUGAAAUUGAUAAUACUGCAAAAUUGGAGCAUUCUCUCUUUUUAUCGCCUUUGUCUAUUACUUAUCAUGAAGCUGCUUCCACUAAGAGUUUUCAAUGAUAUUAGUUCUCCACUUAAUUAUGGUGAAUUUCGCAACCAAGGUACAAUGCUAUUUUGACGGUACAUCAGUACCCCUCCACCCCCCCUCCUCAAAAAAAAAAAAAAAAUCUAUUU